rnacentral:rRNA from 1 species
AUUGAACGCUGGCGGCAUGCUUUACACAUGCAAGUCGAACGGUAACAGGCCGCAAGGUGCUGACGAGUGGCGAACGGGUGAGUAAUGCAUCGGAACGUGCCCAGUCGUGGGGGUUAACUACUCGAAAGAGUAGCUAAUACCGCAUACGAUCUAUGGAUGAAAGCGGGGGACCGUAAGGCCUCGCGCGAUUGGAGCGGCCGAUGUCAGAUUAGGUAGUUGGUGGGGUAAAGGCUCACCAAGCCAACGAUCUGUAGCUGGUCUGAGAGGACGACCAGCCACACUGGGACUGAGACACGGCCCAGACUCCCACGGGAGGCAGCAGUGGGGAAUUUUGGACAAUGGGCGCAAGCCUGAUCCAGCAAUGCCGCGUGCAGGAAGAAGGCCUUCGGGUUGUAAACUGCUUUUGUACGGAACGAAACGGCUCUGGUUAAUACCCGGGGCUAAUGACGGUACCGUAAGAAUAAGCACCGGCUAACUACGUG